rnacentral:rRNA from 1 species
GAUGAACGCUGGCGGCGUGCCUAAUACAUGCAAGUCGAGCGAAUGGAUUAAGAGCUUGCUCUUAUGAAGUUAGCGGCGGACGGGUGAGUAACACGUGGGUAACCUGCCCAUAAGACUGGGAUAACUCCGGGAAACCGGGGCUAAUACCGGAUAACAUUUUGAACCGCAUGGUUCGAAAUUGAAAGGCGGCUUCGGCUGUCACUUAUGGAUGGACCCGCGUCGCAUUAGCUAGUUGGUGAGGUAACGGCUCACCAAGGCAACGAUGCGUAGCCGACCUGAGAGGGUGAUCGGCCACACUGGGACUGAGACACGGCCCAGAGUCCUACAGGAGGGAGCAGUAGGGAAUCUUCCGCAAUGGAUGAAAGUCUGACGGAGCAACGCCGCGUGAGUGAUGAAGGCUUUCGGGUCGUAAAACUCUGUUGUUAGGGAAGAACAAGUGCUAGUUGAAUAAGCUGGCACCUUGACGGUACCUAACCAGAAAGCCACGGCUAACUACGUGCCAGCCGCCGCGGUAA